AGUAUCUCUUGUCAAUAUAAUAUGGUUAAUGGCCAGGAAUGCUGGGAGCCACACGAUGCUGGAAGGCAGGUUUUCACUCCUUCUGCCUCUGACACAUGCCCAGUGUUCCUAGCUGUGAAGUGGCCAAGUCUCAUGGGGCUUCCACGGGAGUAAAGUAAGAGAACACGACAAGUGUUUGUGGCCAACAGCCAGGGUGGAGAAGAGGUGACCAGUGAUUGCUUGCGGGAAGAGACAUCAAGGUGACAUGGAACCCUGUUGGGCUUGCACAUCAGACAGAUCUACCCAGUGAAGAAAGAUGUCGAUGGGAUGAGAAGACAAUGCAUAUUCAGUUGGAAAGAUGAGAACAGACAGAAAAUCCAGACAGAGU